AUCAGAGACUGAGUGUUUCCUGAGGCCAGACCAAAAACAAAGAGAAAGGAAAACAAGAAUGUAUUCCUGGAGGCGAAGGAGAAUCCUUCAGCUUUGUACGUCUGGCCUUGAGGGCUCAAUGCUGCUGGUAGCAGCUGAGGUUACUCCAGCAAUGGUUGCAGUGAAUGUCAUGUUUGCAAUGGAGAUUCUUCCCUUACUUGAAGGCAGCAAAGAGGAUGUCAUUGGAUAGGAAGAAACAACAAAAGGAAUUCCCACCAACCUGCAGACUGGUCACAGAGUCUGCACAGAGUUUAAAAGCAGAGAAUUUUCACAAAUAAAAGCAGCAGC